GUGAGUGGCGAACUGGUGAGUAACACGUGGGAAACCUGCCCAGAAGCGGGGGAUAACACCUGGAAACAGAUGCUAAUACCGCAUAACAACUUGGACCGCAUGGUCCGAGUUUGAAAGAUGGCUUCGGCUAUCACUUUUGGAUGGUCCCGCGGCGUAUUAGCUAGAUGGUGGGGUAACGGCUCACCAUGGCAAUGAUACGUAGCCGACCUGAGAGGGUAAUCGGCCACAUUGGGACUGAGACACGGCCCAAACUCCUACGGGAGGCAGCAGUAGGGAAUCUUCCACAAUGGACGAAAGUCUGAUGGAGCAACGCCGCGUGAGUGAAGAAGGGUUUCGGCUCGUAAAACUCUGUUGUUAAAGAAGAACAUAUCUGAGAGUAACUGUUCAGGUAUUGACGGUAUUUAACCAGAAAGCCACGGCUAACUACGUGCCAGCAGCCGCGGUAAUACGUAGGUGGCAAGCGUUGUCCGGAUUUAUUGGGCGUAAAGCGAGCGCAGGCGGUUUUUUAAGUCUGAUGUGAAAGCCUUCGGCUCAACCGAAGAAGUGCAUCGGAAACUGGGAAACUUGAGUGCAGAAGAGGACAGUGGAACUCCAUGUGUAGCGGUGAAAUGCGUAGAUAUAUGGAAGAACACCAGUGGCGAAGGCGGCUGUCUGGUCUGUAACUGACGCUGAGGCUCGAAAGUAUGGGUAGCAAACAGGAUUAGAUACCCUGGUAGUCCAUACCGUAAACGAUGAAUGCUAAGUGUUGGAGGGUUUCCGCCCUUCAGUGCUGCAGCUAACGCAUUAAGCAUUCCGCCUGGGGAGUACGGCCGCAAGGCUGAAACUCAAAGGAAUUGACGGGGGCCCGCACAAGCGGUGGAGCAUGUGGUUUAAUUCGAAGCUACGCGAAGAACCUUACCAGGUCUUGACAUACUAUGCAAAUCUAAGAGAUUAGACGUUCCCUUCGGGGACAUGGAUACAGGUGGUGCAUGGUUGUCGUCAGCUCGUGUCGUGAGAUGUUGGGUUAAGUCCCGCAACGAGCGCAACCCUUAUUAUCAGUUGCCAGCAUUAAGUUGGGCACUCUGGUGAGACUGCCGGUGACAAACCGGAGGAAGGUGGGGAUGACGUCAAAUCAUCAUGCCCCUUAUGACCUGGGCUACACACGUGCUACAAUGGAUGGUACAACGAGUUGCGAACUCGCGAGAGUAAGCUAAUCUCUUAAAGCCAUUCUCAGUUCGGAUUGUAGGCUGCAACUCGCCUACAUGAAGUCGGAAUCGCUAGUAAUCGCGGAUCAGCAUGCCGCGGUGAAUACGUUCCCGGGCCUUGUACACACCGCCCGUCACACCAUGAGAGUUUGUAACACCCAAAGUCGGUGGGGUAACCUUUUAGGAACCA
rnacentral:rRNA from 1 species